rnacentral:lncRNA from 1 species
CACAACACAACUCUAGACACAAAUAAAAUAAUACAAGCUUCAUAUUACAAGCCAGGGGCCUCGAGGGCUCAAAUACAUAGCUCCAUACACAAGAGUCAGCGGAAGCAACAAUAUCUGAGUACAGACAUAAGUUAGACAAGGAUGCCUUAAGAAGGCUAUCACAAAUAUCAACGAUCGAAGAGGCAAGGGCUCCUGCUUGGGACCUCCUAACUACUCCUGGUCGUCGGUGGUCUUGACGUAGAAGUAGGCAUCGGCGGUGGCAUCUGGCUCCAGGGAUCCACCAACUGGUUGCAACAACUAGAAAGAAGAAAGAAGGGGGGAAAGGGGGAGCAAAGCAACCGUGAGUACUCAUCCAAAGUACUCGCAAGCAUCAGAUCUAAACUAAGUAUGCAAUGAUAUCAAAUGGAAGGGUUGUGUCUGUGGACUGAACUGCAGAAUGCCAGAAUAGAGGGAAAGGCCUAGCCUAUCGAAGACUAGCAUCUUCAAGCAGCUCCAAGCAUCUUGCAACAUGUAGAAGAGUAAAUAAUAGCAUUUUAUAUUAAUAAGCAUGUUGUAAUAUUAAUGCCCAGAGAUCCUUCCUCGACUCCCUGCGAGGAAGCAAUCCCGGGGCCACAUAUCCAUCACAUAUCAAGUAUCCAUUUCUAGUUGUAUAAGAUCAGGAUACAAGUCUGAACGUCCAUUAUCGUGGACACGGUAUCCGAAUAUAUGUCUUCCCUGCAGGGGUGCACCAUGUUUUCCAACACGCUUGAUUACUCUGGCCGGACACACUUUUCUAGGUCAAUGCCUCGGAAUAUCAACACGUCGUAGCCCUACCUAGGCUCAGCAGAGAGGUCCCCGCCGGUCUAUAUCUUAAGCACUCCGGGGUCUAGGCCCGUUGCCCGUUGCACUCCGUGUCGUUGUGUGCAUGGUGGAUACCAGCACCGCCUCGGAUGGCCAGUACGAUCCGACCAUGCCACAAUACUGAACUGGACGUCUGACAAAGCUUUGGUUGAUACUGCGACGUCGAGGCCCAUAACUAUUCUCGCGUGGUGGUUAGUGCGUAAAGGCCAGAGGCCAACUCAGAACAAAUACCCAAACCUGUUAGUGCAUUAUUAAAAUAAGUGACGGCUGUCGGGACAAGUCUGGAGCUAUCACCCCCUCCUGGGUGAUACCGCUAAACAGCCAGCCGCCACCGUAACUCCUCGGGUGCUCUCCGUGCCCGCCCGACUUUCACCAAUGUCUCAAGUAAAGUCAAGGUAACCGUGUGUCCAAAUAUCAAGGGGAAAACCCAUGAAUCACCCUCGGAGUAUUCCACUCGAUGUAAUCAUCAAGGUGAACGUAAGAGGAACCACCCUCGAGGUUCACACUUGAGGUGUUGCACAACAGAGUCGUACCGGAAGUGGUUAAAGAGGAAUCACCCUCGAUGACCACGACCGAAUAGCUACACUACAGAGAUCUCAUCAGGAGUGAUGUAUGAGGUUCCACCCUCGGCACUCGAUGGUAACUCUGCAGAGUCGAGCAACAAAAAGGGGCGUGAUGUGAUGUGAGGUGUCGGGCUCUGGUCGUCGAUCACGUUGAUCGAGUCGUCGAUGAUGAAGCAUGGGCAACAAGGACAAGGUGGGGGUCACUGAUGGAUCACUAACCAACCUAUACUAAGCAGUUUAGGAUAAGCAGGUAGGUAACAAUAGCAGGUACAAAAGCAGGCUAUGCAUCAGAAUAGGAGCAAACAAUAAGAGUAGCAAAAUCUAAUGCAAUCAUUAGAGAAUGGAAUGGGCGAUAUCGGGAUGAUCAAAGGGGGUGCUUGC